AUUCGUAUGACGAGUCUUAAAUAGGACGAAAUGCGCAUCCUGGAU
rnacentral:hammerhead_ribozyme from 1 species